rnacentral:rRNA from 1 species
CACGUAGUUAGCCGUGGCUUUCUGAUUAGGUACCGUCAAGAUGUGCACAGUGACUUACACAUUUGUUCUUCCCUAAUAACAGAGUUUUACGAGCCGAAACCCUUCAUCACUCACGCGGCGUUGCUCCGUCAGGCUUUCGCCCAUUGCGGAAGAUUCCCUACUGCUGCCUCCCGUAGGAGUCUGGACCGUGUCUCAGUUCCAGUGUGGCCGAUCACCCCUCUCAGGUCGGCUACGUAUCGUCGCCUUGGUAAGCCGUUACCUUACCAACUAGCUAAUACGGCGCGGGUCCAUCUAUAAGUGAUAGCAAAAACCAUCUUUCACUUUAGAACCAUGCGGUUCUAAAUGUUAUCCGGUAUUAGCUCCGGUUUCCCGAAGUUAUCCCAGUCUUAUAGGUAGGUUACCCACGUGUUACUCACCCGUCCGCCGCUAACUUCAAAGGAGCAAGCUCCUUAUCUGUUCGCUCGACUUGCAUGUAUUAGGCACGCCGCCAGCGUUCAUCCUGAGCCAGGAUCAAAACUCU